ACUGACCUAUCAGUGAACCAGGCCACAGUCUUGGCUUUCUUUGCCGGCUGACCUAGGGAACUCCUGAAGGUCAUAGUUGCAGGCUGGGAAACAGAAGGCAGUGCAGCAGGAGGGGGGAUCAUGGGCACUCAACCUGCUCAAGCUGUAACUUACUGGUGGCUUUGGGCCUGAUGCAGUCGUGUGUACUCCACUUCUGUUGGAUGGUGGAUGCUGCGGUGCAUGACCACCUGAUGGUCAGUUUGGUGGGUCAGAUGACACCUGAUUCAUGAUGGAAGUUCAGGUUACAUGUUCAUUGGGUUGCCCGUUAUCAAGAGUUCAGACUCCACUAAAACCAAGUAGCAAGCCAAAAGCUGUUUCUGUAAAGAAGAACAAUUAUCUGUGGAUAAUUUUUGGAGCCUUGCUCCCCAAAUCCUAAGGACCUGCAAGUAACCUCAGGGGCAUGCCAAAGGCUCUGGAGAGCCUCUGGAUCCCAUCUGUCCCUGACACUUCAAGGACCAUUGUAGCUGAUGGAUUGUAUGGCCCGAGUGGCAGAGUCGCUCGCACAGAAGCCUGGAUUUUGCAGAGCUUUCUCUUAUUUUGGCCCCCACUCAAAAUAUAGGCAGUUACUAUGACACAAAUCAAAGAUGACUAAAACACUGUUGUUCAUAAUAGAUAAGUCUAGAAAAAUCCAAAUACCUAUUUUAGACUAGAUGAUUCCCAGAAUAUACAUAAAAUGGAAUAGUAUGUAACACAAAAAGAGAACAUUGGCUACAA
rnacentral:lncRNA from 1 species